ACNACAGGNAUUGCCCCAGUAACGGCGAGUGAAGCGGCAACAGCUCAAAUUUGAAAUCUGGAGUCGUUCUGGCUUCCGAGUUGUAAUUUGCAGAGGGUGUCUCGGAGGGCGGGUCGGUCCAAGUGCCUUGGAACAGGAUACCAAAGAGGGUGAGAGUCCCGUAUCCGGCCGAUUUCGCGCUCCGUGUGAGACCCCUUCGACGAGUCGAGUUGUUUGGGAAUGCAGCUCUAAGCGGGUGGUAAAUUCCAUCUAAAGCUAAAUACCGGCCAGAGACCGAUAGCGAACAAGUAGAGUGAUCGAAAGAUGAAAAGCACUUUGAAAAGAGAGUCAAACAGUACGUGAAAUUGUUGAAAGGGAAGCGCAU
rnacentral:rRNA from 1 species